UAGGGAAUCUUCGGCAAUGGACGGAAGUCUGACCGAGCAACGCCGCGUGAGUGAAGAAGGUUUUCGGAUCGUAAAGCUCUUUUGUUAGAGAAGAACGUUGGUAGGAGUGGAAAAUCUACCAAGUGACGGUAACUAACCAGAAAGGGACGGCUAACUACGUGCCAGCAGCCGCGGUAAUACGUAGGUCCCGAGCGUUGUCCGGAUUUAUUGGGCGUAAAGCGAGCGCAGGCGGUUCUUUAAGUCUUAAGUUAAAGGCACUGGCUUAACCAUUGUACUCUUUUGAAACUGGAGGACUUGAGUGCAGAAGGAGGGAGUGGAAUUCCAGUUGUAGCGGUGAAAUGCGUAGAUAUAUGGAGGAACACCGGUGGCGAAAGCGGCUUUCUGGUCUGUAACUGACGCUGAGGCUCGAAAGCGUUGGGAGCAAACAGG
rnacentral:rRNA from 1 species